ACGCUAGCGGCAGCUUAACACAUGCAAGUCGAACGGUAACUCUUAGUGCUUGCACUAAAAGACGAGUGGCGGACGGGUGCGUAACGCGUAUGCAAUCUACCUUAUACUAGGGUAUAGCCCAGAGAAAUUUGGAUUAAUCCCCUAUAAUAUCAUGAAAUCGCAUGGUUUUAUGAUUAAAGCUUCGGCGGUAUAAGAUGAGCAUGCGUCCUAUUAGUUUGUAGGUGAGGUAACGGCUCACCUAGGCUACGAUAGGUAGGGGCCCUGAGAGGGGGAUCCCCCACACUGGUACUGAGACACGGACCAGACUCCUACGGGAGGCAGCAGUGAGGAAUAUUGGACAAUGGACGAAAGUCUGAUCCAGCUAUGCCGCGUGCAGGAUGACAGCCCUACGGGUUGUAAACUGCUUUUAUACAGGAAGAAAUACCCCGACGUGUCGGGGCUUGACGGUACUGUAAGAAUAAGGAUCGGCUAACUCCGUGCCAGCAGCCGCGGUAAUACGGAGGAUCCAAGCGUUAUCCGGAAUCAUUGGGUUUAAAGGGUCCGCAGGCGGUUUUUUAAGUCAGAGGUGAAAUCCUACAGCUCAACUGUAGAAUUGCCUUUGAAACUGAAAGACUUGAGUUAUUGUGAAGUGGUUAGAAUGUGUGGUGUAGCGGUGAAAUGCAUAGAUAUCACACAGAAUACCAAUUGCGAAGGCAGAUCACUAACAAUUAACUGACGCUCAGGGACGAAAGCGUGGGUAGCGAACAGGAUUAGAUACCCUGGUAGUCCACGCCGUAAACGAUGGAUACUAGCUGUAUGUCUACCUCAGGUAGAUGUGUGGCCAAGCGAAAGUGAUAAGUAUCCCACCUGGGGAGUACGAU
rnacentral:rRNA from 1 species